GGGGGGAAAAGGUGGGGAAGAGAAACCCGGGCGCUGAUGAGCGAGACGGGGCGGUGCCCCUUUAGACCCGGGAACGUAUUCACCGCGACAUGGCUGAUCCGCGAUUACUAGCGAUUCCGACUUCAUGGAGUCGAGUUGCAGAAUCCAAUCCGGACUACGAUACACUUUCUGGGAUUAGCUCCCCCUCGCGGGUUGGCGGCCCUCUGUAUGUACCAUUGUAUGACGUGUGAAGCCCUGCCCGUAAGGGCCAUUAGGACUUGACGUCAUCCCCACCUUCCUCCGGUUUGUCACCGGCAGUGUCAUUAGAGUGCCCUUUCGAAGCAACUAAUGACAAGGGUUGCGCUCGUUGCGGGACUUAACCCAACAUCUCAUUUACACUAGCUGAGAACAGCCAUGCAGCACCUGUGCGCCGGUUCUCUUUCGAGCACUCCCAAAUCUCUUCA
rnacentral:rRNA from 1 species